UACGUAGGUGGCAAGCGUUGUCCGGAUUUACUGGGCGUAAAGAGCGCGCAGGCGGUCGUUCAAGUCGCGUGUGAAAGCCCCCGGCUCAACUGGGGAGGGUCACGCGAUACUGAUCGACUCGAAGGCAGGAGAGGGAAGUGGAAUUCCCGGUGUAGUGGUGAAAUGCGUAGAUAUCGGGAGGAACACCGGUGGCGAAGGCGGCGACCUGGGACAAUACUGACGCUGAGGUGCGAAAGCGUGGGGAGCAAACAGG
rnacentral:rRNA from 1 species